rnacentral:rRNA from 1 species
UACGUAGGGUGCGAGCGUUGUCCGGAAUUAUUGGGCGUAAAGAGCUUGUAGGCGGUUUGUCGCGUCUGCCGUGAAAAUCCGGGGCUCAACCCCGGACUUGCGGUGGGUACGGGCAGACUAGAGUGUGGUAGGGGAGACUGGAAUUCCUGGUGUAGCGGUGAAAUGCGCAGAUAUCAGGAGGAACACCGAUGGCGAAGGCAGGUCUCUGGGCCACUACUGACGCUGAGGAGCGAAAGCGUGGGGAGCAAACAGG